AACGAACGCUGGCAGCGUGGAUGAGGCAUGCAAGUCGAACGGGAUCCAGAGAGUAGCAAUACGAUCUGGUGAGAGUGGCGAAAGGGUGAGGAACGCGUGGGUAACCUACCCUGAAGAUGGGGAUAACCUGCCGAAAGGCGGGCUAAUACCGAAUGUGGUCGCUUUUCGCAUGAAGAGCGAACUGAAGGCGGGGAUUCUUCGGAACCUGUCACUUCAGGAGGGGCCCGCGUCCCAUCAGCUAGUUGGUGAGGUAACGGCCCACCAAGGCUUACGGGUAGCUGGUCUGAGAGGAUGGUCAGCCACACUGGGACUGAGACACUGCCCAGACUCCUACGGGUGCAG
rnacentral:rRNA from 1 species